rnacentral:rRNA from 1 species
GCUUGUCUCAAAGAUUAAGCCAUGCAUGUCUAAGUAUAAGCACCCUUAUACAGCGAAACUGCGUACAGCUCAUUAUAUCAGCAAUUAUUUAUUUGAAGGUCACCUAUUACAUGGAUAACCGUGGUAAUUCUAGAGCUAAUACAUGCGAAAAAACGGCUUCACGGUCGUUGUAUUUAUUAGAUAAGAAACCUUCCCCUUUGGGUUGCGUGCCGAGUCACAAUAACUGCUCGAAUCGCAUGGCUUCACGCCGGCGAUGGUUCAUUCAAAUUUCUGCCCUAUCAGCUUUCGAUGGUAGGAUCGAGGCCUACCAUGGCGUUUACGGGUAACGGAGAAUUAGGGUUCGAUUCCGGAGAGGGAGCCUGAGAGAUGGCUACCACAUCCAAGGAAGGCAGCAGG